CGGGACGGGUGAGUAAUGUCUGGGAAACUGCCCGAUGAGGGGGAGUAACUACUGGAAACGGUAGCUAAUACCGCAUAACGUCGCAAGACCAAAGAGGGGGACCUUCGGGCCUCUUGCCAUCGGAUGUGCCCAGAUGGGAUUAGCUAGUAGGUGGGGUAAUGGCUCACCUAGGCGACGAUCCCUAGCUGGUCUGAGAGGAUGACCAGCCACACUGGAACUGAGACACGGUCCAG
rnacentral:rRNA from 1 species